UACGUAGGGUGCGAGCGUUGUCCGGAAUUACUGGGCGUAAAGAGCUCGUAGGUGGUUUGUCGCGUUGUUCGUGAAAACCGGGGGCUUAACCCUCGGCGUGCGGGCGAUACGGGCAGACUGGAGUACUGCAGGGGAGACUGGAAUUCCUGGUGUAGCUGUGGAAUGCGCAGAUAUCAGGAGGAACACCGGUGGCGAAGGCGGGUCUCUGGGCAGUAACUGACGCUGAGGAGCGAAAGCGUGGGGAGCGAACAGG
rnacentral:rRNA from 1 species